rnacentral:rRNA from 1 species
CAAUAGCGUAUAUUAAAGUUGUUGCAGUUAAAAAGCUCGUAGUUGGAUUUCUGUCAAGAGCAAGCGGUCCGCUCCUUUGGAGUGUGUACUUGCGUCGUUUUUGACUUUCUUCUGAACCUUGCUGUUUCCCCUUCAUUGGGUGAGGCAGUUUGGCAGAACCUUUACUUUGAGAAAAUUAGAGUGUUUCAAGCAGGCUAGCGCCUUGAAUACUGCAGCAUGGAAUAAUAAGAUAGGAUUUCAGUUCUAUUUUAUUGGUUCUAAGGACUGAAAUAAUGAUUAAUAGGGACAGUUGGGGGCAUUCGUAUUUAACUGUCAGAGGUGAGAUUCUUAGAUUUGUUAAAGACGAACUACUGCGAAAGCAUUUGCCAAGGAUGUUUUCAUUAA